rnacentral:rRNA from 1 species
AUGACGAACGAUGUCAAUCUCAUGUACCAAAAGUACAUUGCAGAGUUGGACACGAUUACGCCUGAGCAGGUGGUAUGGCAGCCAUAUGGCGCCGAUGACAGACUUGGGUACACCGAGGAGUUUUCCAUCAACCCGAUGUGCUUGUGGGAUAGGGAUCUCUGGCUUAUGCGGUGCCCACUGAUAUGCAACUGGGCAGUUGAGUUUCAUUUGCCACAUCGCGUGUUUCGUCAGUUUGGUCUGUUCCAGCCUCACCUGCCGGAAUGGGUGGAUACGGACAAAGCACUUCAUAGGAGAAGGCAGCGGAAGAUAAAGGACUGGGACAAGCAUCAUGCUUUGUAUGUUACCCGCUUCCAGUUUUGUAUGGAGCAAGCUCGUAGCAGUGCACGCACCAAGCUUCGUGAGCAUAGUCCACUUGCCUUUAAUAACUACAUACGAUGGCUUCUUGAAAAUACACGAGUUGAGAUAUGA